GUAAGGGCAAAACGCAGGGUGGCUGCUCAUAAAAUAGUCUAUGCAUAACACACAUUCUCACACGAACAACAUUGCCGUCGCGAGCUGGGUUGGGUCUGCAGCAAGUCGGCUGGGCGCUGAGACAGGAAAGACUCCAGUUUUCUGGGCAAAAAUACAGGUAAACUUGUGCUACGGAGAGGCAUCCUGGAUUGGGAACUGUGUGUAUCCAGGACUGCAGUGGUCUGACUAAGGAUCUCACAUCAACGUCUCAAGGACUUCAGAGGGGCUGUGGCCACUGACAACCGGAAGUGACGACACAGAGAGGCAUUGCCCUUGAUUUAAGCACGCUGGUUGCAAGCGGGCAAGACCCCAGACAAGACCUUCUUACCCGAAGGCAGCAAGAAUCGCGAAUAAGAACAUUAAGUAACGUCUAAACCAUGGAGCUGGAUAAAGAAACCCUUCAACAGGUCCAACUACUGGUGAUCAACUUCCUCAUCAUCGCCAUCUUGUGCUUUGUGUUCUACGUUUUCUUGGAGACGUUCUUCUUUUAGUGUCCGUUGUCUUACUGAAGCAAGAUGUCUUAGUAGCAUACACCUUGUGAUUGUAAGAAACUGCUUACUUGUCCAGUGUGAUACAUGUACAUAUGUAACUGGAAAGAUGUGAUACAUGGAAACCUCUUGCAGCCCCUAGUAGUUUAGACUAAUACAAUGUAGUACAAGCAUGUAAUUAUAGAAAAAAGAACAUAUCUAUGAGCACCUGUUGCCAAUAGCAACCUACUGCUGGUCGAAAAGAGAUUGCGCAUAAUUCAAGAGGUGGCCUUAUGAACGAGGCACUCCCGUGGAUGUGCCUAUAAAAGUAAUUUUCGUAUAGAACGCUGCACACAAACGAAUGCUACGGCCUGUAGUCAAAAGCAUGCUGUAGUCAGAAGAAAGAUCGAAGAAAUACUGUUCACCACAAAAGCAUGACCUCCAGCUAGUAUUCAGCAUCCAUAUCAGGAUACCCGGAUGUCCUGAGACUGCUACAUUGUUAUUGCCCUUACAUGACCAGACAGCAAAACACAGAUUAUCUACAUAUCUGAAAUUCACGCAAUACAAACUAGUCAUGCAUUCUUUUACACAUUUCCAUCAGAGUUGUGAUUAAAGCUUGUUUGUUCGUUG